UGGACAUCAACGUCAGAAGAGAAUGCAUCCUCAAAUCUAUGAUAAUCUACUUGGGUGAACCUGUUCAGCACCUUAUCAGAGAAUACCAGGAUAUGCAGGAAAAUAAGGAAGAACUGGAACAGGAAGCCUUGGCAAUUCCUUGUCACUGGAAAAGAGGAUCCUUUCCAUCCACACAAAGACAUUACGAUAGUCAUUGAAGGAAGAGAGGUCCUGAAUGAUUUGCCCUCGGUUCCAACAGCUUUUGCCAUGUUCUUCAGGCUGAUAUAUGCACUCAACCUAAAAUAUU